AUACGUAGGGUGCAAGCGUUAUCCGGAAUUAUUGGGCGUAAAGGGCUCGUAGGCGGUUCGUCGCGUCCGGUGUGAAAGUCCAUCGCUUAACGGUGGAUCCGCGCCGGGUACGGGCGGGCUUGAGUGCGGUAGGGGAGACUGGAAUUCCCGGUGUAACGGUGGAAUGUGUAGAUAUCGGGAAGAACACCAAUGGCGAAGGCAGGUCUCUGGGCCGUUACUGACGCUGAGGAGCGAAAGCGUGGGGAGCGAACAGGAUUAGAUACCCUGGUAGUCCACGCCGUAAACGGUGGAUGCUGGAUGUGGGGCCCGUUCCACGGGUUCCGUGUCGGAGCUAACGCGUUAAGCAUCCCGCCUGGGGAGUACGGCCGCAAGGCUAAAACUCAAAGAAAUUGACGGGGGCCCGCACAAGCGGCGGAGCAUGCGGAUUAAUUCGAUGCAACGCGAAGAACCUUACCUGGGCUUGACAUGUUCCCGACGAUCCCAGAGAUGGGGUUUCCCUUCGGGGCGGGUUCACAGGUGGUGCAUGGUCGUCGUCAGCUCGUGUCGUGAGAUGUUGGGUUAAGUCCCGCAACGAGCGCAACCCUCGCCCCGUGUUGCCAGCGGAUUAUGCCGGGAACUCACGGGGGACCGCCGGGGUUAACUCGGAGGAAGGUGGGGAUGACGUCAGAUCAUCAUGCCCCUUACGUCCAGGGCUUCACGCAUGCUACAAUGGCCGGUACAACGGGAUGCGACAGCGCGAGCUGGAGCGGAUCCCUGAAAACCGGUCUCAGUUCGGAUCGCAGUCUGCAACUCGACUGCGUGAAGGCGGAGUCGCUAGUAAUCGCGAAUCAGCAACGUCGCGGUGAAUGCGUUCCCGGGCCUUGUACACACCGCCCGUCAAGUCAUGAAAGUGGGCAGCACCCGAAGCCGGUGGCCUAACCCCUUGCGGGAGGGAGCCGUCUAAGGUGAGGCUCGUGAUUGGGACU
rnacentral:rRNA from 1 species